CGAGGGUCAAACGACUCGAGUGAUCGGCGCGAGGAGAAGCGUGGAAAAAUAAUCGUAGGAAUUCGUUGUGGACACGAUGCUUUUAUACGAGGAACCCUUCACCGCCGAAAUCCAAUGAAGACACUUAUAAUUCCGUCUCUAGAGAUUUCUAGAGAUCAUGCUCGUCAUUGGCUUUUAACGAGUGGACGACCUUACUCUCCAGGGACGAACGAAACUGAAUCUCGAGAAAGUGUCGGCCUCUAAUCAGCUUCGGGGAAUCACGUGGUGAAAAAGGCAAAAAAAAAGAAAGAAAGAAAAAAAAAAAGAAAAGAAUUCAGAAAAGAAAGAUAAAGAGAGGAGUUGAAUAUUGAAAGACGAAAGAUAACGAACGUGUUUUGCCAAUAAUCUGGUAGAAGUGAAGCAUGCUGUCUUCAAAGGGCAACUUGCACGAAUUAACCUUCGUGUUCAAUCCCGUGAACCUUUGUGGACGUAGAUGAUGGAUGAGGCUAAGAAGUUAUUUAUCUUGAUCUUUUGUCUCGAGCUUUCUUUUUGCCCUCGCUUCGAAACUGGAAAAAAUUCCUGGUAAGCGAUAUUGAGAUAUCGAUUGUUCCCCAAAAAUUUU